CCUACGGGUGGCAGCAGUGAGGAAUAUUGGUCAAUGGGCGCGAGCCUGAACCAGCCAAGUAGCGUGAAGGAAGACUGCCCUACGGGUUGUAAACUUCUUUUGUACAGGGGUAAAGUGAGACACGUGUGCCUUUUUGUAUGUACUUUAUGAAUAAGGAUCGGCUAACUCCGUGCCAGCAGCCGCGGUAAUACGGAGGAUCCGAGCGUUAUCCGGAUUUAUUGGGUUUAAAGGGAGCGUAGAUGGGUUGAUAAGUCAGUUGUGAAAGUCUGCGGCUCAACCGUAGAAUUGCAAUUGAUACUGGCAGCCUUGAGUAUAGUUGAGGUAGGCGGAAUGCGUGGUGUAGCGGUGAAAUGCUUAGAGAUCACGCAGAACACCGAUUGCGAAGGCAGCUUACUAAACUACCACUGACGUUGAUGCUCGAAAGUGUGGGUAGCAAACAGGAUUAGAUACCCGUGUAGUC
rnacentral:rRNA from 1 species